GGAAAAUGUUUGUAAACAAUUUUAAAAACGAUUUCACUCAUUAUUUGGUUUAUUGAUUGUUCGAAUUUUAAUUGCUCACUGCAUGACUACCAAUGUCAUGUGGCGUUCAUCCAUUCCUGACCGUCACGGCCAUUUCGAUAAUUACAUUGCGAACAUCGUUGCCGGCGAGCCAGCCGAAGAACUGCAAGGUAAACGUAUUGGCAAGAUUAAAUCCAAUGUUUAUAAAGACAAGGUCGGCCCAGGACAACAUGUAUUUAUGACGUGCUUAUCCAAAUGGUAAAUUUGUAUUUCUUUGUAGUUUGGUCUAAGGGUUGUAAUGGAUUCGUGGUCUGAAGCACUGCUUUCACCUGAACAAGACUGGACGCCUGAGGAAAUAGUGGCCAAGCUGGAAAAAUAUAUGGACUUUUUGUUCUCACUUAAAACUUAUUUAUUCGAUGAGUCGUGAGUAUCCUCGGAGCCAAGAUGCGUCCCAAGCUCCAAAAAAUUCCCAUGAGACUUCAUUGGCCGGGAACGACAUUGUGACGCAAGAUCACAUAAAUCGCCAAAAGAUAAUAAAAAUAAUCAUUACUAUAAUCAUGCAGUGUUGCAUUGUUCAGACAAUAUACCCGAACGAGGAUUUUUUAUUUAUAAUAUACUAAACCUAACAUUCAAUAUAUGUUCUAAUUAACAAUUAGACAACAAAGCCGAGUUGUCUAUGAAGAGGUGGGGGGCAACGGGGGGUCUCGUCACGAAAUCACGAAGAUUAUUUUUCGAUUUCACGCAAAAAAAAACAACUUCAUUUUCACAAAAAAAAAACCAAAAAAACUUCAUUUUCACGAUUUUUAGAAACACAGAAGCGUAACAAUGUCUGAAACCAUUUAACGCGGAUUUUCUAGACAGCAUAACUAGAUGUUAACAGAAACUUAUUUUACUGACUUUAACAUUAGAGAGAGCCGACUAUGAAAAUCAUUGCGAGGCAUUACGAAACAUUACGAGACACGAAGCAACCUCAAGAAACGAAGAAACUUCGGGAAAGACAACCGCGGGAAGCAAAUUUAUUUAUUUUCCCCCAUAAUAUUAAAUUUGGGCCGAGUUUUAAACGUAAACAUUCACAAGUUAGGGUAAAAUAUUGGUAAAUUCAAGAACCUAGCUAGCCUUUUAGCUCUUCACCAUUCACGGCCCGCAUAUUAAUCACGAUUCAUGCACGGAAUGGUAUUUCUUUAAAUCACGAAUCACGAAACACGAAUAAUUGCUAAUCACAAGUCACGAAAAUACCCUUCCCCCCCCCCCCCC